GCAACUGUGUAUUUGCGAACUUCUUGGCGAGAACCUGUUGGAACACUCGGAGAACAUGACAAGACCUUGGAUUCACCUAUUUCAAUACCUGAGCUUCCAGUUGAGUUCCUUCUCAAAUAGCCGACUCCGGACUCAAUUUUGUCCAGGUUCACUGGCAUGCCAACAUCGUUUUUCUUGCUCAACUCAUAAGAUGCAGUGUCUUUAUCCAUCCUGCUUCCUGUGUUUGUUUUGGUGGUUGCAUCAUCCAAUAUAGACCCCUUAAGUGUGAGCGAAACCCCUGUCAUAAGACUGUCACUGUAUCUUCUUCUGCUUAGUUUGUUGCUUCUUGACACAGAAUAAUCAUUUUCUCCAAGAGGCUUCAGCUUCAAAUCACUUCGAUGCCUUGCAGAAACGGCUAAUUUUUUGGUGCAUGCUUGUAUUUCCUUUCCAUGGGAAGUUUUCAGCCUUCUGAUAUUUGCAGGUAGUUUAGUUGAGUGUAGUGGUUUCUUCCGUAUCUGCCACUUCACAGUUGUAGCCAAUUUUGAAUUUUCUCCUGAUGAAGUUACAGAUGUUUUGGACAUGUGAGUCCUCGCCUUUGUUUUACAGUUGAGUUCCGCACCAUCUUUGUUAGCGUCAGAAGAACCUGUUGGAACACUCACAUGACGUGGCAAGACCUUGGAGUCACCCAUUUCAAUACCUAAAUUGCCAGUUGAGUUCCUUCUCAAAUAACUGAGUUCAUGCUCAAUUUUCUCCAAGUUUGCAGGUUUUCCGACAACCUUCUUGUUGCCCAACUUAGAAGACCCAGUGUUCUUGUCCAUCCUGCUUCCUUUGUUUGGUGUGCCGGUUGCACCAUCCAACGGAGAAUUCUGAGCAAUUGAUGAUCCCCCUGGUAUGAUAGUGUCGCUGUAUCCUCUUAUCCUCAGCUUAUAGAUUCCGGACAUAGAAUUAGCAUUUUCCUGCAACGACUUCAUCUUCAAACCGUUCCGUUGUUUUACAGAAACAGCUAAUCUUUUGGCGUAUGCUGGGAUCUCCUGUCUCUGGGAUUUACCAGUUGUACGCCUCUUGAAAUUCACAGGUAGCUUACUCGAGCGUAGUGGUUUCUUCCUUAUCUGCACCUGUACAGUUGUAGUCAAUUCUGGUAUUUUUUCUGAUGCUACUACUGUUCUACUCAGCAGGGAAGUCCUUGCUAUUGUUGUUUGAUCAUCACGUUCAGCACCUUUGCAAGCGUCAUGGCAAGAACCUUUUGGAUCGCUCAGGUAACGUGACAAGACCUUGGAUUUAGCAAUUUGAAAGCCAAAGCUGCCAGUUGAGUUCCUUCUCAAAAAGCGAGCAUCACGCUCAAUUCUCUCCAGAUGUGCAGGUAUGCCAACAACCAUCUCAGCCAUUUUGAGUUUGAGCAAUGAAACUAGUACCACUGCAGAACUUAUCAGAAGCAGAGACCCUUUGAAACCUCGACCUCACAAAUGCAGCAUCCUAGUGUGGAAAAAAUAACAAGGACCUGUGAGAGAAUUGAUACUGAUAAAAAAAGCAA
rnacentral:lncRNA from 1 species